GUAACACGUGGAUAACCUACCUAUAAGACUGGGAUAACUUCGGGAAACCGGAGCUAAUACCGGAUAAUAUAUUGAACCGCAUGGUUCAAUAGUGAAAGACGGUUUUGCUGUCACUUAUAGAUGGAUCCGCGCCGCAUUAGCUAGUUGGUAAGGUAACGGCUUACCAAGGCAACGAUGCGUAGCCGACCUGAGAGGGUGAUCGGCCACACUGGAACUGANACACGGUCAGAUCCUACGGGAGGCAGCAGAC
rnacentral:rRNA from 1 species